AUUCGCCUUAGAGUUUGAUCCUGGCUCAGGAUGAACGCUGGCGGCGUGCUUAACACAAGCAAGUCGAACGAAGCCCUCGGGCUUAGUGGCGGACGGGUGAGUAACGCGUGAGAAUCUACCUUCGAGAUGGGGACAACCGUUGGAAACGACGGCUAAUCCCCAAUAAGCCGCAAGGUGAAAUGGGUUUCCGCUCGAAGAGGAGCUCGCGUCCGAUUAGUUAGUUGGUGGGGUAAAAGCCUACCAAAGCGUCGAUCGGUAGCUGGUCUGAGAGGAUGAGCAGCCACACUGGGACUGAGACACGGCCCAGACUCCUACGGGAGGCAGCAGUGGGGAAUUUUCCGCAAUGGGCGCAAGCCUGACGGAGCAACGCCGCGUGUGGGAAGAAGGCUCUUGGGCUGUCAACCACUUUUCUCAGGGAAGAAUUAGUGACGGUACCUGAGGAAUCAGCCUCGGCUAACUCCGUGCCAGCAGCCGCGGUAAUACGGAGGAGGCAAGCGUUAUCCGGAAUUAUUGGGCGUAAAGCGUCCGCAGGGGGCGCAUCAAGUCUGCUGUCAAAGGUCGGAGCUUAACUCCGGUGUGGCAGUGGAAACUGGUGCGCUAGAGGGCGGCAGGGGUAGAGGGAAUUCCCAGUGUAGCGGUGAAAUGCGUAGAGAUUGGGAAGAACACCGGUGGCGAAAGCGCUCUACUGGGUCGCACCUGACCCUCAGGGACGAAAGCUAAAGUAGCGAAAGGGAUUAGAUACCCCUGUAGUCUUAGCCGUAAACGAUGGAUACUAGGCGUGGUUUGUAUCGACCCAAGCCGUGCCGAAGCUAACGCGUUAAGUAUCCCGCCUGGGGAGUACGCACGCAAGUGUGAAACUCAAGGAAUUGACGGGGGCCCGCACAGCGGUGGAGAUGUGGUUUAAUUCGAUGCACGCGAGACCUUACAGGGCUGACAUCCGCGCAUCUUCU
rnacentral:rRNA from 1 species